UGCCUCACCGUCCCAAGAGCCGGGCGGCCAGCACUUCCUGUCUAAGCCAGGGGAUCCCUGCCCCAGUCGGGGGUCCCCCCGCCCCUAGAGCGGGGCUGGGCUGAGUCUGGGACAUCUGGGAGCGGGGUAGCGCAAAGUCGGGGUGCUCGGACCGAGCCCCGGGCUCUUCGCUCCCCCAGCACCAACGCCUAGGAAGUCAGCACCCUCCCGACACGCCGCGGACCCCCAGUGGAGCCACCCGAGCCGCACCCCGGGCGCCGCCCCGCGCCUCCCCAGGCCUCUGGCUCUUUAUUGUAGCUGAGGAAGCCCUUUCGUAUGAUCUGAUCCUACAAGAGGCUCUGAGGGAGGCAGGCCAGGGAGUGAUACUCCCAUAGUACAGAAGAGAAACUGAGGCCAGAAGAAGACAGGGAUUGCCCAGGAGCAUGGAGGGGGUCAUCAGCAGAGGACCAUUGUAAGAUUGACAAGCCCACAAUCCCAGAGUACCCAUUCCGGAUCAGUCUGCAUCACUGGGCCAAGCAGAGGGAUCCCACUGGGCUUGUCCUCGUGGUGCUCUCUGCCCCGUUCAGCACUAGGAGACAUUGGUUCAAUCCCUGAUCUGGGAAGAUUCCCACAUGCUGCGAAGCAACCAGGCCCGUGAGCCACAACUACUGAGCCUGUUGUCUAGAGCUUGGGAGCCACAACUACUGAAGCCCAUGUGCCCCAAAGCCUGUGCUGUACAACAGAAGUCAUGGCAAUGAGAAGCUCAUGCAUUGCGACUAGAGAGUAGCCCCCACUCGCCACAACUAGAGAAAAAAACCGAGCAGCAAUGAAGACCCAGCACAGCCAAAAAUAAAGAUUGAAGGCAGGAGGAGAAGAGAACAACAGAGGACAAGAUGGUUGGAUGGCAUCACCAACUCAAUGGACAUGAGUUUGAGCAAGCUCCAGGAGAUGGUGAAGGACAGGGAAGCCUGGCGUGCUACAGUCCAUGGGGUCGCAAAGGGUCGGACAUGACUGAGUGAACAACAAAAACAUUAAAAGUAACAUGUCACUUUAU